GAUGAACGCUAGCGGCGUGCCUAACACAUGCAAGUCGAACGUGAGAGGGUACUUGUAUCCUUGAAAGUGGCGGACGGGUGAGUAAGACGUAGGUGACCUGCCUUGAAGUGGGGGAUAACCAUUGGAAACGAUGGCUAAUACCGCAUAAGCUGGUGACGAUGGGAAUCGUUAACAGGAAAGCUUUAGUGCUUUGAGAGGGGCCUACGGCCGAUUAGCUAGUUGGUGAGGUAAAGGCUCACCAAGGCGAUGAUCGGUAGCUGGUCUGAGAGGACGAUCAGCCACACGGGAACUGAGACACGGUCCCGACUCCUACGGGGGGCAGCAGUGAGGAAUAUUCGGCAAUGGGGGCAACCCUGACCGAGCAACGCCGCGUGGAGGAUGACGGUUUUCGGAUUGUAAACUCCUGUUAAGCGGGAAGAAAGCCUUGUUUCUAAUACAAGCAAGGUAUGACGGUACCGCUAGAGAAAGCACCGGCUAACUUCGUGCCAGCAGCCGCGGUAAAGUCGUCAU
rnacentral:rRNA from 1 species